UACGUAGGGGGCAAGCGUUGUCCGGAUUUAUUGGGCGUAAAGAGCGUGUAGGCGGCCAGGUAGGUCAGCUGUGAAAACUCGAGGCUCAACCUCGAGAUGUCGGCUGAAACCAUCUGGCUAGAGUCCGGAAGAGGAGAAUGGAAUUCCCGGUGUAGCGGUGAAAUGCGCAGAUAUCAGGAAGAACACCUAUGGCGAAAGCAGCUCUCUGGGACGGUACUGACGCUGAGACGCGAAAGCGUGGGGAGCGAACAGG
rnacentral:rRNA from 1 species